rnacentral:tRNA from 1 species
GGAGAGAUGGCUGAGUGGUCUAAAGCACACGCUUGGAAGGCGUGCGUACGAUGACCUCGUACCGGGGGUUCGAAUCCCCCUCUCUCCG